rnacentral:tRNA from 1 species
GUCCCCUUCGUCUAGAGGUAUAGGACACCGCCCUUUCACGGCGGUAACAGGGGUUCGAAUCCCCUAGGGGACGCCA